CACGAGAGGCGCAAGCGUUGUCCGGAAUUAUUGGGCGUAAAGAGCUCGUAGGUGGUUUGUUACGUCUGCUGUGAAAACCUAGGGCUCAACUCCGAGCUUGCAGUCGAUACGGGCAGGCUAGAGUUCGGCAGGGGAGACUGGAAUUCCUGGUGUAGCGGUGAAAUGCGCAGAUAUCAGGAGGAACACCGGUGGCGAAGGCGGGUCUCUGGGCCGAUACUGACACUGAGGAGCGAAAGCGUGGGGAGCGAACAGG
rnacentral:rRNA from 1 species